rnacentral:hammerhead_ribozyme from 1 species
AUCCAGCUGACGAGUCUUAAUUAGGACGAAACGCGUGUCCUGGGU